UUUCCGUAGGUGGACCUGCGGAAGGAUCAUUAAUGUGUUUGGGCCUCACGGCUCUUCAUUCCGACGCUGUGCGCCUUCGGGCUGCACGCUGAGGGAGCAUAUAUCCACCCCUGUGCACACACACGGUGGCGAGCUGGGUAACGGCUCGCCGCUGAUCUUUACACACGUCUAAAAGUCAUUGUAUGUUUAUUUGAGAUAAAAACACAACUUUCAGCAACGGAUCUCUUGGCUCUC
rnacentral:misc_RNA from 1 species